GUCUUGACAUCCCGGUGACCGGACAGUAAUGUGUCCUUUUCUUCGGAACACCGGUGACAGGUGGUGCAUGGUUGUCGUCAGCUCGUGUCGUGAGAUGUUGGGUUAAGUCCCGCAACGAGCGCAACCCUUAUCCCCAGUAGCCAGCGGUUCGGCCGGGCACUCUGAGGAGACUGCCAGGGAUAACCUGGAGGAAGGUGGGGAUGACNUCAAAUCAUCAUGCCCCUUAUGACUUGGGCUACACACGUGCUACAAUGGCGUAAACAAAGGGAAGCGAGACCGUGAGGUGGAACAAAUCCCAAAAAUAACGUCUCAGUUCGGACUGUAGUCUGCAACCCGACUACACGAAGCUGGAAUCGCUAGUAAUCGCAGAUCAGAAUGCUGCGGUGAAUACGUUCCCGGGUCUUGUACACACCG
rnacentral:rRNA from 1 species